rnacentral:rRNA from 1 species
GACGAACGCUGGCGGCGUGCCUAAUACAUGCAAGUCGAACGGAGUGGCGGACGGGUGAGUCAUGUCUGGGAAACUGCCUGAUGGAGGGGGAUAACUACUGGAAACGGGCGCUAAUACCGCAUACUAUCAGAUGUGCCCAGGUCGGAUUAGCUAGUUGGUGGGGUAACGGCCUACCAAGGCGACGAUCCGUAACUGGUCUGAGAGGAUGAUCAGUCACACUGGGACUGAGACACGGUCCAGACUCCGACGGUAGGCAGCAGUGGGGAAUAUUGGACAAUGGGCGAAAGCCUGAUCCAGCCAUGCCGCGUGUGUGAAGAAGGUCUUCGGAUUGUAAAGCACUUUAAGUGGGGAGGCGUUACCAACAGAAGAAGCACCGGCUAACGUCGUGCCAGCCGCCGCGGUAAUUC